rnacentral:misc_RNA from 1 species
CGCUGCCGGCAACAAUAUUCUGAGAGUGACGUGCGGGUUAUUGGAAGUAGAAAGUGGUCAGGAAUGUGUGAUUUAUGUAAUUUAUGUUUGGGAUGCAUAAGUAGUUGUUUGUUGAACUAAUGGAAUUUUUGUGAAUGGAAACAAAUUAAACGUAAAAACUGUAUUGUCUGUAGAUAGGUAGGAAAUAGAUGUGAGAGGAAAUUAUUCGAAGACUAAGCUAUCUCCUUGAACAUGCCCCGCGGACAACGGACAGAGAUGUCUGAAGUCGCAAGAAGAUUACAAAGAGCAGCUAUUCGCCUGGUGUUUAGGUUGUUGGAAUUAAUUGUAUCAGGAUUUUUACAGUUGGUUUACCAUGGGAAAGGUGAAGUAGUUCCUCCCAUUAACAACCUGUUGCUUUUAGAGCCUGCAUCCACACUUGCACUGAAAAUAAGAACUAGAAAGGUUUCAAGUGUCCAGGUGAUAGAAGCUUACAUAGCUCGUAUAAAAGAAAUAAAUCCUAUCUUAAAUUGCAUGGUAGAUGAGAGAUUUUCUGAUGCCCUGAAAGAAGCAAGGGAAAUAGACAGUUUUAUUGCAUCAGAAACAAAGAGUACUGAUGAAAUUGCAAGAGAUACACCUUUUCUUGGUGUCCCGUUUACAACAAAAGACUGCAUACAAGUAAAAGGCCUGUCAAACACUGCUGGAUUGUACAAAAGAAAAGAUAUAAAAGCUCUUGAAGAUGCCGAAGUCAUUGCCCUUAUGCGAAAAGCUGGCGGAAUUCCGUUAGCUGUUACAAAUAUUUCGGAAUUGUGUAUGUGGUGGGAAAGCUCAAACACAGUCUAUGGGAGGACAAACAAUCCUUACAAUACAAACCAUAUAGUUGGUGGCUCUUCGGGUGGGGAGGCCUGCAUUCAAGCUGCAGCAGCUUCCCCAGUUGGAAUAGGGUCAGAUAUUGGAGGUUCAAUAAGAAUGCCAUGCUUUUUCAAUGGCAUAUUUGGCCACAAGCCUUCUCGAUGUAUUGUAUCUAAUCAAGGAGAAUACCCUGUGCCUUCUGAAGAACAAAAUACCUUCCUGGGAACUGGUCCUAUGUGUCGUUAUGCAGUAGACUUGCUGCCUACCUUGAAAGUAAUAGCUGGGAAAAAUGCAAUUCACUUGAAGUUGGAGGAAAAAGUGAAUUAUGAUAAAAUGAAAUUCUAUUACAUGGAAAGUGAUGGUGGUUCACCUGUAGUUUCUCCUGUACAUCCAGAAAUAAAAGAUGUUUUACUAAAAGCUGUGAGUCAUUUUGAAAGAGCGUAUAACAUAAAAGCACAAAAGAUUAGACUGGAGAAGAUGAAAAUGUCUAUUGAUAUAUGGCUUGCGAAAAUGAAAGUUAAAAAUGGACCUACUUUUUGCGAGGAACUGGCAAAUAGAGAGGGUUCUAUAACUUUAUGGUGGGAGUUAGUUAAAUGGUUUCUUGGAUUCUCUAACCACACAUUUAUUGCUUUAGCCACAGCCCUAACUGAAAAACUUGGGGUGCAGCCGGGUACCCCAGAACAUGCACAAUUGUGUGAUUUGUGUGAUCAGUUACACCAAGAGUUCCAGGAUAUGCUGGGAAACAAUGGAGUACUUUUUUAUCCAACACAUCCUACUCCAGCACCCUACCACUUAGAACCUCUCAUCAAACCUUUCAAUUUUGCUUACACUGGAAUAAUAAACAUGCUGGGAUUUCCUGCUACACAUUGUCCACUUGGUCUUAGCAAAGGUGGAUUACCCAUUGGAAUCCAGGUAAUUGGUGGAAUGAAUCAAGAUCACCUGACAAUAGCUGUCGCAAAUGAGUUGGAAAAGGCAUUUGGUGGCUGGGUUCCACCAUCAAUUGCUGUGUAAGGACUUGCCAGAUUGUUCAUUCGUUGGUGGUUGGUAAUACGCAUUACGUAAUUUAAUUAACAGGUGAGAAGAAAUAUGGCUCAAGCAUGUCCUUCAUCACGAAAUAUGAAACUGGAAAAAAGUUUGCAAUUUUUUGUGAUGAUGUCUCAAAUUGUUUGUUAAUUCCUAAUGUGCUAUUUAAAGAAGAUUGAACAUGCCAAUUACCAUAAGCACUAUGUCCUUUCCAGUUAAGAAAUUCAAAGAAUUGGGCAGUGAUGAUUUUUAUGCCAGUGUUGAAGUGUUUGUUUGAAAGAUACAGUUAUAAUUAUAACUGUAAGACUCACAUAAUGAAUUUGAUUCACAUACUUUUUUCCUUUUGUGAUGCCAUAUGGAAUGAUUUUUAUGAUACUUUGAUUCUGUGACCAGGUCUGAUUAAAGAUAAUGCCACAACUCUGCCCUUAGAAAAGACACAAAAGAUUUUUUUAUUUUUUGAAAGCCUAUGACAACUGUUUGUAUUUAAGAUUUCAUGACACUUUUCAGUCCUGUGGCACUGCAACAUUGUAUACCUUAAGGGGAAAGAUAUCUGGAAAACUGUACAAUUUCGAUUAUGAUUCACUAGUUGACAACUUAUGUGAAAUGAGUUAAAGAUGACUGUCGAAGGUCUUUAGUUCUUUGCUCUAUUUCUUUCAGCCAAAAUUAGACCUUAACAUCUCUCCCCCCCCUUUUCCAUUUUACAAUGCUGUUUGUUUCCAUGUUCAUUUGAAAUGAGAAGUAAUGGGAUAUGAUUGUAACUCUGCAAGUUCACAAUGAACUUGUAUUGUUGUCGAAUAUGAUGAACAUGUUAUUUUGAAAAACAUAAAAUUAGGUGCAAUGAGGAUCUUAAUAUUAGAUAGAUGUCUGUUAUUUAUACCAUGUCAAAUGAAAUGAAUGUUGUGCUUAAGUGACAGUGCACACCCUCCAUGUUGUUUUUAAGUCACUCAGAAACUGUAAUUAUUAUUCUAGAACUGUCAUUAAAAAUACUGUUGGACUUAUUCUGAAGAGUUUGCAGUAUUUUUGUGCAGGACAAUAAGAAAAGAGAGAUAUUUUUGUAACACUUAUCUUAGCAAACUUAUCUGCCUAUUUGCUUGUGAGUCAAAGUGUAAACUAGGGAAGGCAAACUUUCUGAUCUCCAUAGCUUUCUGUUGUGCACUUGUUUGGGUAGUGAUGCAUUGUUGAAACACAUGGAAGGGAAAAAUAGUUUUUCCCAUCAUCGAUGUAUUCUAUUACCAUCUUAUGACUGAGAUGCAGGUAAUAUACUUGCCAUGCAAGACUUAUAUUGUAGGUAGAGAAAAAGACAUGAAGGAAGCACUGCAGUUCUUUUGAAUGCAUAAAUGUGAAUGACAAAUGGCGUGCGCUUGUGUGUGUGUGUGUGUGUGUGUGUGUGUGUGUGUGUGUGUGUGUGUGUGUGUGUGUAAUUUUUUUUUUUUUUUUUUUUUUGACAUAACAAUCUUGUGAAAAAAAUGAUACUGCCUAAAAAUGCAAGGGACCACAGCAACAUCACUUUCAGUCAUAGCACAUUUGGUUUUUAUUGUGUACCAAAUUUCUGUAAAUGCGUGUAAAUGAAUAAUUCAUUGCAUACAAGAUAUUUAACUGACAGAGGCUUACAGAAUUUUUAGCACAGAUGUAAUGAUGGAAAGCACUCUUUCAUUAAGCACUUAAUGCUGUAACAUAUUGUUAAUGUUAUCUUGUUAUUUAUAUGUGUUUGAAUAACUGCAUUUGCAAUACUUCGUAUUUUGUAUGUUGUAUUUGUUAUACUCUGCUGCAUGUCUUCCUGGCAAUUACUAUAAAAGUUAUAUUUUUGCCAGAAAAAAAACUGUGAAUACUUAAGAAAGAAUACGCUACAAAUGUAUUUUUUUAUUCAUGCCUCAGUAUUAACAAUAUAUUUUAUAUGCA